GUUUCAAAGUGAAGGACCAAGAGACAACCUUGUCUGAGUUUUGCAUCAUUUUCAUGGAUUCCUUUCUCCUUCAAAGGAAAGGAAUAAUGAACUGGAGAAAUUCCAUGUGAACUGGAACAACUUUCAGGAACUGAUGCAGUGAGAGGAGCAGAACCAGGAGAACAUUAUACACAGAGAUGGAAAACUGUGGCACAAUCAAAUGUAAUGGACUUCUCUACUAGCAGCAAUGCAAUGACCCAAGACAAUUCUAUGGAACUUAUGAGAAAGAACACUAUCCACCUCCAGAGAAAGAUCUGUCUUACCUUACGUCAAUUGAGAAAGAAAGAAAGAAAAUCAAAAUCCAUAUUGGAGCCCCUUAUCUCUCUAACAGGAGACAAAGCUGGAAAGAUCUGCAGGAACUAA
rnacentral:lncRNA from 1 species